rnacentral:rRNA from 1 species
GACGAACGCUGGCGGCGUGCUUAACACAUGCAAGUCGAACGGAAAGGCCCUGCUUUUGUGGGGUGCUCGAGUGGCGAACGGGUGAGUAACACGUGAGUAACCUGCCCUUGACUUUGGGAUAACUUCAGGAAACUGGGGCUAAUACCGGAUAAGAGCUCCUGCUGCAUGGUGGGGGUUGGAAAGUUUCGGCGGUUGGGGAUGGACUCGCGGCUUAUCAGCUUGUUGGUGGGGUAGUGGCUUACCAAGGCUUUGACGGGUAGCCGGCCUGAGAGGGUGACCGGCCACAUUGGGACUGAGAUACGGCCCAGACUCCUACGGGAGGCAGCAGUGGGGAAUAUUGCACAAUGGGCGGAAGCCUGAUGCAGCAACGCCGCGUGCGGGAGGACGGCCUUCGGGUUGUAACCGCUUUCGCCUGUGACGAAGCGUGAGUGACGGUAAUGGGUAAAGAAGCACCGGCUAACCACGUG